rnacentral:rRNA from 1 species
AAAUGAAUAGACGGGGGCCCGCACAAGCGGAGGAACAUGUGGUUUAAUUCGAUGAUACGCGAGGAACCUUACCUGGGCUUGAAUGCAGGUUGACAGACUGGGAAACUGGUUCUUCUUCGGACAACUUGCAAGGUGCUGCAUGGUUGUCGUCAGCUCGUGCCGUGAGGUGUAGGGUUAAGUCCCAUAACGAGCGCAACCCUUAUUGUUAGUUGCCAGCGGGUAAUGCCGGGGACUCUAGCGAAACUGCCGGUGUAAACCGUGAGGAAGGAGGGGAUGACGUCAAAUCAGCACGGCCCUUAUGUCCAGGGCGACACACGUGUUACAAUGGCCGGUACAAAGGGCAGCUACCUGGUGACAGGAUGCUAAUCUCCAAAACCGGUCUCAGUUCGGAUCGAAGUCUGCAACUCGACUUCGUGAAGCCGGAUUCGCUAGUAAUCGCGCAUCAGCCACGGCGCGGUGAAUACGUUCCCGGGCCUUGUACACACCGCCCGU